rnacentral:tRNA from 1 species
GGGUCGUUAGCUCAGUGGGAGAGCACCUCCUUGACGCGGAGGGGGCCGCUAGUUCAAUCCUAGCACGACCCACCA